UUUUCUUGGGGCUUUUGGGACACCAAAAUCUGACCUUUUAGCACACAAGUAAGGAGUUGGUGAAGAGCACAAUCUCGAUCAAAGUUUGGAAUUCUAGACACUUCACUUGAGGUUCUGAAAUGCAUGAAGUCUUGGAGAACUAGAACAGAAAUGUUAUAUUUUGAAUGCCCACUUUUGUAAUUGUACUUUUGGAA